ensembl:snRNA U2 U2 spliceosomal RNA
AUCGCUUCUCGGCCUUUUGGCUAAGAUCAAGUGUAGUACCUGGUGUUUCCCAGGUGGCGCUAGUGGUAAAAAACCUGGCUGCCCACGCAGAAGACAUAAGAGAUGCAGGUUCCUUCCCUGGGUUGGGACGAUCUCCUGGAGGAGAGCACAACAA